AGUGAACGCUGGCGGUAGGCCUAACACAUGCAAGUCGAACGGCAGCACAGUAAGAGCUUGCUCUUACGGGUGGCGAGUGGCGGACGGGGGGGGAAGACAUCGGAAUCUACUUUUUCGUGGGGGAUAACGUAGGGAAACUUACGCUAAUACCGCAUACGACCUACGGGUGAAAGCAGGGGAUCUUCGGACCUUGCGCGAUUGAAUGAUCCGAUGUCGGAUUAGCUAGUUGGCGGGGUAAAGGCCCACCAAGGCGACGAUCCGUAGCUGGUCUGAGAGGAUGAUCAGCCACACUGGAACUGAGACACGGUCCAGACUCCUACGGGAGGCAGCAGUGGGGAAUAUUGGACAAUGGGCGCAAGCCUGAUCCAGCCAUACCGCGUGGGUGAAGAAGGCCUUCGGGUUGUAAAGCCCUUUUGUUGGGAAAGAAAAGCAGCAGGUUAAUACCCCGCUGUUCUGACGGUACCCAAAGAAUAAGCACCGGCUAACUUCGUG
rnacentral:rRNA from 1 species